rnacentral:misc_RNA from 1 species
GAUGAAGAACGUAGCGAAAUGCGAUAAGUAAUGUGAAUUGCAGAAUUCAGUGAAUCAUCGAGUUUUUGAACGCAUAUUGCGCCCUCUGGUAUUCUGGGGGGCAUGCCUGUUCGAGCGUCAUUAAAUAACCCUCAAGCAUAGCUUGGUGUUGGGCUUUUUUACGUCCUUGACUGGGAUGGGCCUAAAAAUUAGUGGCGAUGGCUUUUUUACUUUCAAGCGUAGUAAAUCUCGUCUUGCUAAAGAGGAAAAAGAUUUUUUUUCUGCCAAAAAUUUUAACAUUUAAAGUUGACCUCGGAUCAGGUAGGAUUACCCGCUGAACUUAAGCAUAUCAAUAAGCGGAGGA